UUUCAAUUCAGAUCUGCCAGGACCCUUUAAAAUUUAAUGUACAGUAUAUGUGCAUUCUUUUAUUUUGCAUAAGCUAAAAAUUGGCUCUGGCAUAUUUUUAAAUAAGCUCUGGCAUAUUUGUAUUGUCAAAUACACAGCAGCUGCUAUUUUGCCAUAAGAGAAGGAGCUGUUGGUAAACUGACCUCAGCCCAGCAGCUGUGAAUCGCAUGGGAGUUACCGCUGCAACGUUGCUGAUUUCGCCUGAAGGCUUGACAAAAAUAAAAGUGAAACCAAGUACAUGCUCUGGAACUCGACCGUUUGCUUCUUUGUUCGGUUAAUCCAGUGUUUACUCCAUAUGUAGAUGGAUCUUCCUUCAGAGCCCUACCUUCUUAUAAUAUGAUAUGGAAUAAUAUGAUGGCUGCAUAAUUUAAGGAUAACGAUUUGCAAAAUGUCAAAAGUAAUCUGGGUCCCUUCAACUUCUGGAGAAGAAGAAGGAAGACCAAGGCGUGAUGGCUGUCUGUCUGUCUGUAAAGGAACUAUGUCUGAAACUAAGACGGAGACAGACUGUGGGAAUUGUGCAAAUAUGUAUUCAGCAACAAAAUAUAGACAUGGUCAAAAUGAGGUCUGAAGUCGGUAUGUAUACAGUUUCACGUCUGUUUUUUCUUGGUUUAUCCAGUUUACCAAACUCAGGACAUGAGCUCAUAAACAGUCAGUAAAUGUAUAUAUCUACAUGAUAUAGAUUUUAUGUAUUCACUGAAUUAAUUCAUCAAAUCUUUUUUCAUUCAAAGACGUGAUCACUUGUUGUAAAGUGAAUAAAAAGGGGUUAGUCAUGUACAUUUGUUAUAUGCACUGUUUAACGUACAGUAGCAUAGUAUAAAACUAACCGCAGUUGGAUCUGUUAUUGAUUCACUUGUUAUUUAGCCAGUUAGUGAGUAAAGUUAAUAUAUGUUCACAUAAAGGCAAAUGUCAAAGCGAGAAAUCCCACUACCAUGUAUAUCUAGUGUUUUUAUGACAAUAAAAUAUUGCUUUAUGUUGGAAUUUAUGGUUUGAUGAUAUAUAUGCAUGAUAGAUCCCAAAGGCUCUUUCACUUAAUGAAGUAUAUCCUGUGCCACUAUUCUAUAUAUGUUAUGAUCAAACUAUAGAAUGCUCUACUAAAGACGCUUUUUUGUUUGUUCAUUUUCGCAUCGUAUAUGUUUUAUAAUUGGAGGUCUGCACUCCUCCUAUGUCUUUGAGUGAUAAAGAACACCUGCUUGACCUUCAGCAAAUAAAAAAACUAAAUUUGCAA